rnacentral:tRNA from 1 species
AAAGGGAGACCUAAUUCAGGUAAAAGACGAAAAAAAAGUAGUCGCUACCAAGAAUCAAUCCCAAAAGGUCGGAACGAGGUAUGAGGCUUUCAAACUAGGUUCUGGGUUCAUAAAAGACCUGAAUCAGGAACAAGGGCUAUUAGCUCAGGUGGUUAGAGCGCACCCCUGAUAAGGGUGAGGUCCCUGGUUCGAGUCCAGGAUGGCCCACCUGCACAGGUGGCAAAAAGAAAGAAAAGAAGCGAGGAAUCAGCACCUUAUCUUACUGACAUAGUAAGAGAGAAUGCUGGCUCUGAGUAAAGAGUCCAGAGGAACCUUGAAAACUGCAUAGAGCUAGGUGAAAAAGCCAAAAAAGAAGACCGCAAG